rnacentral:rRNA from 1 species
UACAGAGGGGGCAAGCGUUGUUCGGAAUCACUGGGCGUAAAGGGUGCGUAGGCGGCCGUGCAAGUCUGGCGUGAAAGCCCCGGGCUCAGCCCGGGAAGUGCGCUCGAAACUGCGCGGCUCGAGUGCCGGAGGGGAGAGUGGAAUUCCUGGUGUAGCGGUGGAAUGCGCAGAUAUCAGGAGGAACACCGAUGGCGAAGGCAGGUCUCUGGGCAUUAACUGACGCUGAGGAGCGAAAGCAUGGGGAGCGAACAGG